AUUCUUUCGCAGAGGCAAUAUUGUAGCCUAUGAGGUCUAUCCGAGGCGUGAUUAUUGCCGGUUGAAAACAGAAUCAGAAUCAGUUUUAAUGCCAAGUGUGCUUCACACACACAAGGAAUUUGUUUUGGCUACAGA